UACGUAGGGGGCUAGCGUUGUCCGGAUUUAUUGGGCGUGAAGAGCGUGUAGGCGGCCAGGUAGGUCUGGUGUGAAAACUCGAGGCUUAACCUCGAGAUGUCAUCGGAAACCAUCUGGCUAGAGUCCGGAAGAGGAGAGUGGAAUUCCUGGUGUAGCGGUGAAAUGCGCAGAUAUCAGGAAGAACACCAAUGGCGAAAGCAGCUCUCUGGGACGGUACUGACGCUGAGACGCGAAAGCGUGGGGAGCGAACAGG
rnacentral:rRNA from 1 species